CCUUUAUCUUUUGAGUAUAGGAUUCCAAACAUAUUCAGGAGUCUUUUCAGAAAAAAGUUCACUUCCUUUUUACAGCAGUUUAUUGGAAAACACAUAUUUUCUGUCUUCCUUUUAUGCUGUUACAGGUUCUACAUUGAAUGGAAAGUUUGUUUCAAAAUAAUUCCAUUAAUUAGUAGAGAGUGUUGAUCACUGAUUAAACGAUUGUGAUUUAUCUGCUUUUGUUCACAGGUAGAUUUGCUACAGCUCUUUCAUUACUGGCUUUCUGCCCAUCAGUAUUACCUCAAGAUGAUUCGGAGCAAAGGCUUUCUGGUUAAAAUGUGAUGAAGUCUAAAAUCAAAAUGGCAGAGAGCCGAGAACACUUCAGGUGGAACAUAAGUUCGCUUAUAAGAGGAUGAAAAGGACCAUCUUUAUGAGCAUCUUGCAGGGAGCUGGGAGGACACAUGCUGGCUGGUGCCUAUCAUUCUCUACAUCUUAACUUAAUUCUGAAGCAUGAAUUUCAGCUGAAAGGAGGCUCGAACUUUAUUCUUUUUUUUCAAACAGAAACACAAUAGAAUUUAUUUCCUUUCUUUUUGCUGAGGGAGAAACAGUCUCCUGGUAGGGGAGUAGUAUUUUCAAAAGCUUCUUAGGUGUCUUUAAAAACAAGGAGACAACUGAAUUGUAAGUGCUGCCUUUUCUCUUAAUAAACUUCAUCCAGACAGUCAGCACAUCA